GAUGAACGCUGGCGGCGUGCCUAAUACAUGCAAGUCGAGCGAACGGACGAGAAGCUUGCUUUUCUGAUGUUAGCGGCGGACGGGUGAGUAACACGUGGAUAACCUACCUAUAAGACUGGGAGAACUUCGUGAAACCGGAGCUAAUACCGGAUAAUAUUUUGAACCGCAUGGUUCAAAAGUGAAAGACGGUCUUGCUGUCACUUAUAGAUGGAUCCGCGCUGCAUUAGCUAGUUGGUAAGGUAACGGCUUACCAAGGCAACGAUGCAUAGCCGACCUGAGAGGGUGAUCGGCCACACUGGAACUGAGACACGGUCCAGACUCCUACGGGAGGCAGCAGUAGGGAAUCUUCCGCAAUGGGCGAAAGCCUGACGGAGCAACGCCGCGUGAGUGAUGAAGGUCUUCGGAUCGUAAAACUCUGUUAUUAGGGAAGAACAUAUGUGUAAGUAACUGUGCACAUCUUGACGGUACCUAAUCAGAAAGCCACGGCUAACUACGUG
rnacentral:rRNA from 1 species